GCCUGGGUGGCUCAGUCGGUUGAGCGUCCGACUUCAGCUCAGGUCGCGAUCUCACGGUUCGUGAGUUCGAGCCCCGCGUCAGGCU
rnacentral:tRNA from 1 species